rnacentral:rRNA from 1 species
CCCUUAGAUGUCCUGGGCCGCACGCGCGUUACACUGAUGCACUCAACGAGCAUAUAACCUUGGCCGAGAGGCCUGGGUAAUCUUGUUAACAUGCAUCGUGAUAGGGAUAGAUUAUUGCAAUUAUUAAUCUUGAACGAGGAAUUCCUAGUAAUCGCGGUUCAUCAAACCGCAAUGAUUACGUCCCUGCCCUUUGUACACACCGCCCGUCGCACCUACCGAUUGAAUGGUCCGGUGAGGACUCGGGAUUGUGGUUUGGCUCCUUCAUUGGGGCCUGACUACGAGAACUUGUCCGAACCUUAUCAUUUAGAGGAAGGUGAAGUCGUAACA